rnacentral:rRNA from 1 species
AACGCGAAGAACCUUACCAGGUCUUGACAUCCUCUGACACUCCUAGAGAUAGGACGUUCCCUUCGGGGACAGAGUGACAGGUGGUGCAUGGUUGUCGUCAGCUCGUGUCGUGAGAUGUUGGGUUAAGUCCCGCAACGAGCGCAACCCUUGAUCUUAGUUGCCAGCAUUUAGUUGGGCACUCUAAGGUGACUGCCGGUGACAAACCGGAGGAAGGUGGGGAUGACGUCAAAUCAUCAUGCCCCUUAUGACCUGGGCUACACACGUGCUACAAUGGAUGGUACAAAGGGCAGCGAAGCCGCGAGGUGGAGCUAAUCCCAUAAAACCAUUCUCAGUUCGGAUUGUAGGCUGCAACUCGCCUACAUGAAGCUGGAAUCGCUAGUAAUCGCGGAUCAGCAUGCCGCGGUGAAUACGUUCCCGGGUCUUGUACACACCG